GAUUUAGAUAACAAAAGACUACAACGUUUUCACGUGAAAUAAACUUUUGUUUGCCGGACAUUUCAGCCUUAUCUGUUCGUUAUUACUGUUGAAAUAUUUUUGCAAAUACAGAAAUAUAAGCGGAUUCAAUGUGAUAAAAUAAAAACAAAUGCUGGGAAUAUGUUUGUAGGUUAAGUUCUAUAACUUUGGAUAAAGACAAAUUUGUAUUCCCUGAGACUCGAGCUCCACCGCUCGGUGUUAUACAAUGUGUGCCACUGCUGAUCCUGGCUUACAGGAGUUGUAGUGGAAGUGGGGGCGGGAGAGUCUCUGAAAAACGUUCUAUAACUUUAUUUAGUCAUAAAAGAACAAUUUAUCGACAUAAUCAUCUCACACACAAUCAAAGAAAUAUUUAUGAAUAAAUGAAAAUAAAAUAAAUUUCCUUUUUUAAAAA